AUUGAACGCUAGCGGGAUGCUUUACACAUGCAAGUCGAACGGCAGCGCGGACUUCGGUCUGGCGGCGAGUGGCGAACGGGUGAGUAAUGUAUCGGAACGUGCCCAGUAGCGGGGGAUAACUACGCGAAAGCGUAGCUAAUACCGCAUACGCCCUACGGGGGAAAGCAGGGGAUCGUAAGACCUUGCACUAUUGGAGCGGCCGAUAUCGGAUUAGCUAGUUGGUGAGGUAACGGCUCACCAAGGCGACGAUCCUUAGCUGGUUUGAGAGGACGACCAGCCACACUGGGACUGAGACACGGCCCAGACUCCUACGGGAGGCAGCAGUGGGGAAUUUUGGACAAUGGGGGCAACCCUGAUCCAGCCAUCCCGCGUGUGCGAUGAAGGCCUUCGGGUUGUAAAGCACUUUUGGCAGGAAAGAAACGUCGCGGGCUAAUACCCCGUGGAACUGACGGUACCUGCAGAAUAAGCACCGGCUAACUACGUG
rnacentral:rRNA from 1 species